rnacentral:rRNA from 1 species
GGCGCACGGGUGAGUAUCGCGUAUCCAACCUUCCCUCCACUCGGGGAUACCCCGUUGAAAGACGGCCUAAUACCCGAUGUUGUCCACAGAUGGCAUCUGACGUGGACCAAAGAUUCAUCGGUGGAGGAUGGGGAUGCGUCUGAUUAGCUUGUUGGUGCGGGUAACGGCCCACCUAGGCUACGAUCAGUAGGGGUUCUGAGAGGAAGGUCCCCCACAUUGGAACUGAGACACUGUCCAAACUCCUACGGGAGGCAGCAGUGAGGAAUAUUGGUCAAUGGACAUAAGUCUGAACCAGCCAAGUAGCGUGCACGAUUGACGGCCCUAUGGGUUGUAAACUGCUUUUGUUGGGGAGUAAAGUGAGGCACGCGUGCCUUUUUGCAUUUACCCUUCCAAUAAGGACCGGCUAAUUCCGUGCCAGCAACCGCGGUAAUACGGAAGGUCCAGGCGUUAUCCGGAUUUAUUGGGUUU